rnacentral:rRNA from 1 species
UUGGAGGGCAGUCUGGUGCCAGCAGCCGCGGUAAUUCCAGCUCCAAUAGCGUAUAUUAAAGUUGUUGCAGUUAAAAAGCUCGUAGUUGAACUUCGGGGUUUACCCAUUGGUCAGGCUUAAUUGUCUGCACUGGUGAGAUGAAUCUCUACCUUCUGAGGAACUUUCAUGCCAUUUAUUUGGUGUGAUGGGAAAUCAGGACUGUUACUUUGAAAAAAUUAGAGUGUUUAAAGCAGGCUAACGUCUGAAUACGUUAGCAUGGAAUAAUGAAAUAGGACGGACUGAUUCUAUUUCGUUGGUUUCUAGGAUCACCGUAAUGAUUAAUAGGGAUAGUUGGGGGCAUUAGUAUUCAAUUGUCAGAGGUGAAAUUCUUGGAUUUAUUGAAGACUAACUACUGCGAAAGCAUUUGCCAAGGAUGUUUUCAUUAAUCAAGAACGAAAGUUAGGGGAUCGAAGACGAUCAGAUACCGUCGUAGUCUUAACCAUAAACUAUGCCGACUAGGGAUCGGACGAAGUUAAUUUUAUAAUGACGCGUUCGGCGCCUUACGGGAAAC